GUAUUUUUUUGUAAAUAUGGGGCUUCACCAUGUUGCCUAGGUUGGUCUCAAACUCCUGGGGCCAAGUGAUCCAGCCCACUUGGCCUCCCAAAGUGCUGGAUUACAGUCAUAAGCCAUUGUACCCAACGGAGAGUAAUAUUUCAAUACGUAUAUAUGAUGUCUAAUGAUCAAAUAAGGGUAAUCAGCAUAUCCAUCACCUCAAAUAUUUAUAAUUUUUUGUGCUGCGAACAUUCCAAAUCCUCCCUUCUAGCUUUCUGAAAAUACACAAUAAAUCAUGAUUAACUGUAUUCACCCUACAGUGCUGAAGAACAGAAUUUACUCCUGUCAAGCUGUAAUUUUGUGUCAGUUCACCAAUCUUUCUACAUCUUCCCCUCCUGCUUCCCUUCUCAGGCUCUAAUACUCACAAUUCUAGUAUCUGUUUUCACAUAUGCGUGAGAACAUGAGGUAUUUAUCAUUCUGUACCUGGCUUAACAUAAUGUGCUCCAGUUCUGUUCAUGUUGCUGUGAAUAACAGGAUCUCAUCCUCUUUUUACAGCUGAAUAGUACUCCCUUGUGUAUACAUACCACAUUUUCUCUAUCUUGAUUCUUCUGCUGAGAAUG